GCCAUAAAAACAGGGAGCUUGUAGACAGGCUGAGAGGAAAUUGUGAAUUUCGACCUAUAACCUGAUGUGGAUAAUGCCAACGUAGGGAAAUACGAACGAUUCUGA
rnacentral:ncRNA from 1 species